CUGAAGCAUCAUCAAUGGAGGAGGCAUGUCUGGUGCAGGUUAAGCAAGCCAUGAUGAGCAAGCCUGUAAGCAGUACUCCUCCACUGCCUGUGCACCAGUUCCUGCCUUCAGCCUCCUCCUUUGACUUCUUAACCUGGCUUUUCUGGAUGAUGAAUUACAAACUAUAAGAGGAAAUAAACUCUUUCUUUCACAAA